rnacentral:misc_RNA from 1 species
AUAGCAUCUUUGCUGUAGACUGCUCACACGAAUUCCGAUAUGCUAGAACUUUCUGAAAUUCUAAACUUUUUUUAAGUGCCUGUGGUGAAUUUACACGUAUUUUAUCCACCACAACCAAAGUCAAAUUCAUCAGAACUAGUUAGUCUAGGAAAACAGGUGGUAUAUAAUAAAUUUUCAAGAGAUGAUGCAUAGGAACAAAAACGUAGUACACACACUAGAGUGGAAAACUAAUAAAUCUUAUCUCGGCCCUAGAGAGCGAGAAUUUCAUGUCAAUACGUGGAAGGAUGUCAUACAGCAUACAGCUCUCAAUCGGCCGCAUUCUGCAGAGCUGCAGACAAGGUCUCUAGCCCCAUCGUUACUCAAUCCUUCAACCUACAUUUGGGCCGAAGGACUCCACCCCCUGCUCCCCCAUCUUUUGUACAUCCCCUGGAGAAAGUAU